GUUACAAACUCAGAAUUGUUAGAAGUAAACUUGCGAGACAUAAAUUCAGAAUUGCGAGACUUAAACUUGCAAGACGUAAACUCAGAAUUGCGACAUAAACUUAAAAUCAAGAGGUUUAAACUCAGAAUUGUGAGACUUAAACUUGUGAGACAUUAAUUCAGAAUUGUGAUAUAUAAACUUAGAAUUGCGAGUUACAAACUCAGAAUUGUGAGACUUAAACUUGCGAGACGUUAAUUCAGAAUUGCGAGAUAAACUUAGAAUUGAGAGGUUUAAACUCAGAAUUGCGAGACGUAAAUUCAGAAUUAGAACAUAUAUACUUAGA